AGAGUUUGAUUAUGGCUCAGGAUGAGCGCUAGCGAUAGGCCUAACACAUGCAAGUCGAGGGGCAGCACAUGAAGUAGCAAUACGGAUGGUGGCGACCGGCGCACGGGUGAGUAACGCGUAUGCAACCUGCCUACAACAGGGGAAUAACCCGUUGAAAGACGGACUAAUACCCCAUAACACAGGGAUCCCGCAUGGGAAUAUUUGUUAAAGAUUUAUCGGUUGUAGAUGGGCAUGCGUUCCAUUAGCUUGUUGGUGAGGUAACGGCUCACCAAGGCAACGAUGGAUAGGGGAACUGAGAGGUUUAUCCCCCACACUGGUACUGAGACACGGACCAGACUCCUACGGGAGGCAGCAGUGAGGAAUAUUGGUCAAUGGACGCAAGUCUGAACCAGCCACGUCGCGUGAAGGAAGACGGCCCUACGGGUUGUAAACUUCUUUUGUAAGGGAGUAAAGUGUAGUACGUGUACUAUUUUGCAUGUACCUUACGAAUAAGGAUCGGCUAACUCCGUGCCAGCAGCCGCGGUAAUACGGAGGAUCCGAGCGUUAUCCGGAUUUAUUGGGUUUAAAGGGUGCGCAGGCGGGAGAUUAAGUCGGCGGUGAAAUUUUGCAGCUCAACUGUAAAAGUGCCUUCGAAACUGGUUUCCUUGAGUGUGGAUGAAGUAGGCGGAAUUUGUGGUGUAGCGGUGAAAUGCAUAGAUAUCACGAGGAACUCCGAUUGCGCAGGCAGCUUACUAAACCAUAACUGACGCUCAGGCACGAAGGCGUGGGGAUCAAACAGGAUUAGAUACCCUGGUAGUC
rnacentral:rRNA from 1 species